rnacentral:tRNA from 1 species
AUUUAAAUAGUUUAAAAAAAAUUAUAGAUUGUGGUUCUAUAGAUGUAAAUUAUUACUUUAGAUA